rnacentral:rRNA from 1 species
UACAGAGGUCCCAAGCGUUGUUCGGAUUUACUGGGCGUAAAGGGCGCGUAGGCGGUUUGAUAAGUCUGAUGUGAAAUCCCGCAGCUUAACUGCGGAACUGCAUUGGAAACUAUUUGACUAGAGGAAUGGAGGGGAGACUGGAAUACUUGGUGUAGCGGUGAAAUGCGUAGAUAUCAAGUGGAACACCAGUGGCGAAGGCGAGUCUCUGGACAGUUCCUGACGCUGAGGCGCGAAAGCCAGGGGAGCAAACGGG